rnacentral:rRNA from 1 species
AGUGGCGAACGGGUGAGUAACGCGUGAGUAUCUGCCCUUAGGAGGGGGACAACAGUUGGAAACGACUGCUAAUACCCCAUAUGUCUACGGAUGAAAGAUUUUAUCGCCUGAGGAUGAACUCGCGUCUGAUUAGCUAGUUGGUGAGGUAAUGGUUCACCAAGGCGACGAUCAGUAGCUGGUCUGAGAGGAUGAUCAGCCACACUGGGACUGAGACACGGCCCAGACUCCUACGGGAGGCAGCAGUGGGGAAUUUUCCGCAAUGGGGGCAACCCUGACGGAGCAAUACCGCGUGCGGGAGGACGGCCUGUGGGUUGUAAACCGCUUUUCUCAGGGAAGAAGACCUGACGGUACCUGAGGAAUCAGCAUCGGCUAACUCCGUGCCAGCAGCCGCGGUAAUACGGAGGAUGCAAGCGUUAUCCGGAAUUAUUGGGCGUAAAGCGUCCGUAGGUGGUUAAUCAAGUCUGCUGUUAAAGAGCGGAGCUUAACUCCGUUUAAGCGGUGGAAACUGGUUGACUAGAGAGUGGUAGGGGUAGAGGGAAUUCCCAGUGUAGCGGUGAAAUGCGUAGAUAUUGGGAAGAACACCGGUGGCGAAAGCGCUCUACUGGGCCACAUCUGACACUGAUGGACGAAAGCUAGGGGAGCGAAAGGGAUUAGAUACCCC